rnacentral:rRNA from 1 species
AGUGAACGCUGGCGGUAGGCCUAACACAUGCCAGUCGAACGGCAGCACAGUAAGAGCUUGCUCUUACGGGUGGCGAGUGGCGGACGGGUGAGGAAUACAUCGGAAUCUACUUUUUCGUGGGGGAUAACGUAGGGAAACUUACGCUAAUACCGCAUACGACCUACGGGUGAAAGCAGGGGAUCUUCGGACCUUGCGCGAUUGAAUGAGCCGAUGUCGGAUUAGCUAGUUGGCGGGGUAAAGGCCCACCAAGGCGACGAUCCGUAGCUGGUCUGAGAGGAUGAUCAGCCACACUGGAACUGAGACACGGUCCAGACUCCUACGGGAGGCAGCAGUGGGGAAUAUUGGACAAUGGGCGCAAGCCUGAUCCAGCCAUACCGCGUGGGUGAAGAAGGCCUUCGGGUUGUAAAGCCCUUUUGUUGGGAAAGAAAAGCAGCAGGUUAAUACCCCGCUGUUUUGACGGUACCCAAAGAAUAAGCACCGGCUAACUUCGUG